rfam:Bacteroidetes bacterium GWA2_30_7 gwa2_scaffold_14173, whole genome shotgun sequence.
GCUGUUCGCCGAUUAAAGUGGCACGUGAGCUGGGUUCAGAACGUCGUGAGACAGUUCGGUCCCUAUCUGUGGUGGGCGUAGGAGAUUUGAGAGGUCCUGACUCUAGUACGAGAGGACCGAGUUGGACAAACCUCUAGUGUACCUGUUGUGGCGCCAGCUGCAUCGCAGGGUAGCUAAGUUUGGACGGGAUAAGCACUGAAAGCAUCUAAGUGCGAAGCCUCCCUCAAGAUGAGAUCUCCUUUAAGGGUCGUCGAAGACUACGACGUUGAUAGGCAGUAUGUGUAAAGACAGUAAUGUCAAAGCUGAGCUGUACUAAUUACCCGUAAACUUACUUUC